AGUCCCAGAACGAAGAGCGGAGCAAUACAAAACCCCCCAAUACGCGGAGUACUUGCUAACUAUUUUGUUUUUUUGUUUUCAUUAUUUGUUUGGCUGGUUUUCCAUGUGAAAUUAAAUACGAGAUCGAAGCAAAGAGCCAGUCAAUAACGUCAACUUAAGUGUAACGUGUCUGCUGUCGCUUAAAUUUCUAAAACGAGAAGUUUUAAAGUGAAUUUCCCAUCGCAACAAUUGAAGGGGAAAAAACCGGGCCAUCUUCGUUUUCAAUAACUUUUCCGCAAAGGCCUAGAGUGGAGUGGCGUUGUUGUUGUCGGUCGUUUUGCAUGAUAUUUGAUAUUUUCCAUCCAUUACACCAUCACCAUGGAUAAAUUGGCAACCUGAGAUGGUGGUAUAUCAAAUGCAAGUCUUUUUGGCCCCAAAAAUUGUGCAAACAAUCACCUCACCAGCUGGCUGGCAUUGAAAGUCUGCUGUGUAGAUAACACGAUAACACAUUUAAUCUCUUUAACAAUUGUUGAUUUAUUUCAAAUAUAUUUGUUUGCAACGCCA